rnacentral:rRNA from 1 species
UACGGGGGGGAGCAAGCGUUGUUCGGAUUUACUGGGCGCAAAGGGCGCGUAGGCGGCCACCGCAAGUCGACUGUGAAAUCUCCGGGCUUAACCCGGAAAGGUCAGCCGAUACUGCGGGGCUAGAGUGCAGAAGGGGCAACUGGAAUUCUCGGUGUAGCGGUGAAAUGCGUAGAUAUCGAGAGGAACACCUGCGGCGAAGGCGGGUUGCUGGGCUGACACGUGACGUGAUGUGCGAAAGCUAGGGGAGCGAACGGG